UAUGCCUCAGAGAGUCUAUGAAUGGAUAAAGAAAACAUGGUAUAUACUUACAACGGCAUAUCAUUCAGUCUUACCAAAGAAGCAAAUCUUGCCACAUGUGCGACCAUGAAUGAACCUGGAGGACAUUAUGCUACGUGAAGCAACCCAGUGACAGAAGGUCAAAUACUGCAUGACUCCAUUAAAUGAGGUGAGAAAGCACCGAUCCUUGAAAUUAUGGGGAACCAGCCAAAGUAUGAAGUGGAUACACAGAAGAUAAAACUGAUAAAAUAUUCAUGUUUCUUCUGGAAUUGCUUCAGUCACAUGAGUAAACAAGUACCCUUUACUUUUUAGGCCAGGCUGAGUUGAAAUUAUAUUAUUUGCAACCAAACCAUUCUUCUAAAAUAGAACAAAA